GGUUGAGUAGCUAGAUAUAAAUAAUAUGUUUUAUAUCUGCUAAAUAAAUUGAUGUAUAUGGCUUUUCAUAAAUUUUUUAUCCAAUUCAUCUUCACUAGUUGGUUAUCAUUCAUGGGUUGACAGAGGGAAUUUUAAUUAUAUUUAUGUAAUAAAGACGAGGUUUUUUUUUCUGUCACUAAAGUCAUAAAGAGGUGGAAUGUGUUAUUGACACUUAAAUUUUAUUACCCUCUUUCUUUGAAUUUUUUUAAUGACCCUGCAGCAUAAUGGAUAAGAUAUCUCUAGAACCUUUUAAUUCCCAAAAAGUCUCAUUUUGUAGUCCAGAGUUUAUCUUAGGGGGGAGUGCACACCAUACUUAUCUCCUUACCCCCACCCCCACCCACAUACACUUCAAUCAGCCCCAGGAAGUUAUAUUAUCACUGUGUGCACUAUUCGAAGAAACUGUCAAUACUUGGAAAGAAAAAUAGUUUAUCUAGAGUGUUACAAGUCCAACAUAUGUGUUUACAUUGAUAAAGGAAGCAACACAGAGAUCAAUGUCAUUCAUACCUUGUGACAGCUUCUACACAAUAGAUCAAUUAGUUAGUUAAUAUAUAUGCUUUUGAUAAUCAGAAUGUAUUUAUGUGUUGAUAAGAGGGGGUCUCAUUGGGGUAUUCAGAUCCAGGAUCCCGCUUACUGUUUUGUCAGAUUCCUGUAUCCCUCUUACACUAUGUUCGUAAGUAAUUCUCAUUUUUUUGUCAUUUUCCGGGUCAAUGCUCACUGUACUUAUUAAAAAAGAUGUUUAAUAUAGAUUGUUUUUGUCCACCAACUUAUGAAUUAAUUUUUGCCACUCAGAAGUUACUGUCUUAGAUAUGUUGGAAUCUUGCACUAAGUGUUUUUUUCCAUGCAAUUACUUAUGAAUCAUUCAGCAAUGGGCUCUAAAGAAAAUGCCAUUACUGUUGAUGAAAUGGAAAUAAAGGAGUACGAUUUUGGCCUCAAUUUUUAAGUUCAUCUGACGAAAUAUUUUAGACUCUUUUUAGACACUUAAGUGUCUAUUUCAAUUGAUUCAAUUAGUUUUUGUAAAAGAUUUCAAUUAAUUAAGUCACUAAAAACACUCCGAUUCAAGCUUAGAUAUGAAAAAUCUAUCAAAUUUGCCAAAAAUUGUCACUUUUCAUAUGACAGAAACCGUCUAAAAUUUUACUAAAAUGCUAAAACUGUAAAGAUUUCAGUAAUUUAGCAUGACUUUAUGAUGCUAGUACCUGAGAUAUGUGCAUUGUAUUGUCAAAAACAGACCAUAUUUAUGUAGCAGAAUCAUUCUUAUUUCAACUAAAUAGCUUAACGAUUACAUAAUCACAAUUUUGUAAAACUGCUAUAUUUUGGGGCCAAAAAGGGGUCUUACCGAACUUACUCCUGUGAUAUUGAAGAUUUUCCUUUUUGUCGUAAAGUUAUGGUCCUUGAUAGAUUGAAUUAUCGGCAUAGAAUGUUACUGGUAAAAAAAUAUUGAAAGCAACUUUCAAAAUACAGAAAAGCUAGUUUGCUGUCUACUUGACAUUCCUUGUUAUUAGACAUGUUUACCUUUAUAAUUUAACUUGAUUGUUAUGAUUAGUUGUGUUGUUUGACAAGUCUAUUAAAAAUUCAUGACAUUGAAACAUAUUUUGAUGUCAUUAUUUAUGUUGGUCAUGGUAUAUUAUUAUUUAACAUGAAACAUUCCACAAAUAUAUAUUUAUUAAUGCAUAAACUUUUACAUGUACGGUAUCCCUCAGAUUCCCUCAUAAUGUUGGCUUGUCAGCAGACAGCCCCCCCCUUUUUGGAAUGUCCUGGAUCCACAUCUGUACUGUAUUUAGAACAAAACUAACAAUGAUUUAAUGUCAAAGUCAAAAGGGGUCUACUGCCCUCUACUCAUGACUGAUUAUAAAGUUACUGUAAAUUAUUGCGUGCAUUUAUUAUUGCGAUUUUGUCAUUUUAGACUUGAAUGCGAUUUUAAUUUUUACAAUUUUGAUAAAAAUCCUGUUUAAUUCAAAAAAGAUAUUUGAAAAUGGGAGUUUAAAUUAUUGCCUUUUCAAUUCUGUCGCUUUUUCUCAAUAAUAAAAACCUUGCAAUAAUUUCUGAGUUUACAGUAAUUAAAUCACAAGGAUAGAAGCAAGCUUUUUUACCCCAUUUUUAAUAUCAUUCAAUCAUUCUUCAAAUGUUUAAUUACAUAUUGAAAAAAAGAUUAACAGAAAAUAAGAAUGUGAAUCUAGUCAUGAGGUAUAUAAUAUAUUGUCAUCUGUACAUCUUUGCAGUCUUUGGCCUUGAGAAAGCAACUUUUUGGCUAUUGAAGCAUGUACUUUAUUUUUUUUUAAUAAACCAUAUAUAUUUAUUCAUUAUUUUUAUUUUAUAUACAUAAAUAUUUACAUAAACAAUGAGCUGUAUUUAAGAACAAUGUUUGAAUUUUUACACUUCUUUUAAUAUCAAUUUGCCAAAAGACUUCUUACAUUUUAAAAAAUGAAUUAUUCUUCACAUUUAAAAUGUUCUUUUAAGAUUAAUUUGCCAAAGAACUUCUUGCGUUUUAAAGAUGUAUUAGUUGGGUUAGAGCAAUAUCAUAUUAGGAGAAGGUAUCUAGUUGGAUGUUUUAAAUGAGCUGGAUUACCAUAUUUAUCUUGGAACUGAUUGGUUUAAUUAAAUGAAAAUAUAAAAUAGUUGUAACUUGCAAUUGUAUUUUUUAAAUUAAAGACUAAUUUUUGUAUUA